AUCAUUACCGAGUUUACAACUCCCCAAACCCCUGUGAACAUACCUAUACGUUGCCUCGGCGGAUCAGCCCGCGCCCCGUAAAACGGGACGGCCCGCCCGAGGACCCCUAAACUCUGUUUUUAGUGGAACUUCUGAGUAAAACAAACAAAUAAAUCAAAACUUUCAACAACGGAUCUCUUGGUUCUGGCAUCGAUGAAGAACGCAGCAAAAUGCGAUAAGUAAUGUGAAUUGCAGAAUUCAGUGAAUCAUCGAAUCUUUGAACGCACAUUGCGCCCGCCAGUAUUCUGGCGGGCAUGCCUGUUCGAGCGUCAUUUCAACCCUCAAGCUCAGCUUGGUGUUGGGACUCGCGGUAACCCGCGUUCCCCAAAUCGAUUGGCGGUCACGUCGAGCUUCCAUAGCGUAGUAAUCAUACACCUCGUUACUGGUAAUCGUCGCGGCCACGCCGUAAAACCCCAACUUCUGAAUGUGACUCGGA
rnacentral:rRNA from 1 species